UUGACGGGACCCGCACAAGCGGUGGAUGAUGUGGAUUAAUCGAUGCAACGCGAAAACCUUACCUACCCUUGACAUGUCCGGAAUCCCGAAGAGAUUUGGGAGUGCUCGCAAGAGAACCGGAACACAGGUGCUGCAUGGCUGUCGUCAGCUCGUGUCGUGAGAUGUUGGGUUAAGUCCCGCAACGAGCGCAACCCUUGUCAUUAGUUGCCAUCAUUUGGUUGGGCACUCUAAUGAGACUGCCGGUGACAAACCGGAGGAAGGUGGGGAUGACGUCAAGUCCUCAUGGCCCUUAUGGGUAGGGCUUCACACGUCAUACAAUGGUCGGUACAGAGGGUUGCCAACCCGCGAGGGGGAGCUAAUCCCACAAAGCCGAUCGUAGUCCGGAUCGCAGUCUGCAACUCGACUGCGUGAAGUCGGAAUCGCUAGUAAUCGUGGAUCAGCAUGUCACGGUGAAUACGUUCCCGGGUCUU
rnacentral:rRNA from 1 species